rnacentral:rRNA from 1 species
UUUCGACCUGAGCUCAGGCAAGGCUACCCGCUGAACUUAAGCAUAUCAAUAAGCCGGAGGAAGGGAUCAUUGAAUUAUUAAAACCACAAUGUGAACCUUAUUGAUCCGUGCCUUUGCUGCCAGCAGGGAAUCAGCUUUGCCUGAUUGGACUUGCAAGCUGGUGCGAGUUUUAUACUUGCAUCAGGGGCCUUGGGAAGCUUUACACCAGGGUAACCCUGGCAAACAAAACUGAAGUUUGAUUGUUUUAAUGGGGACCUUACCAAGAAACUUCAAACGGAAAUUUGGGCCUCCACACUUAAAAACCCGCAAUGGCAACCUUUUGGGAAUUGCAAAAUCCUGGCACCCCAAUUUUUGAACCAAUGGGCCCCCCCCGGGAAAAAAUGUUUCCCAGGGGGGGUUUACCCCCCCCCCCUUGGGGAAGGGGGGUGAUCCUUGUGGGCCCAAAAGGGGGAACGGGUUCCCCUUUGGUUUUUUCUCAAAGGGGGGGGGGAAAGUU